rnacentral:rRNA from 1 species
UCAAAAACAUCGCCUCUUGAUAAAAUAUAAGAGGUCCAGCCUGCCCAGUGACCUAGUUCAACGGCCGCGGUAUCCUAACCGUGCGAAGGUAGCGUAAUCACUUGUUCUUUAAAUGAGGACUAGUAUGAAUGGCACCACGAGGGUUAAGCUGUCUCCUUUUUCUAAUCAGUGAAACUAAUCUCCCCGUGAAGAAGCGGGGAUUAUACUAUAAGACGAGAAGACCCUAUGGAGCUUAAAACAAAUUAACACUUGCUUCUAUCCAUUUUUACUCCUGAACUAACACAUAAAAUAUAGCAUCGUUGAUUAAUAGUUUUCGAUUGGGGUGAUCAUGGAGUAAAAACCAACCUCCACGACGAAAAGGAACACUUCCCUGAGCUAAAAGCUACAACUUUAAGCACUAAAAAAUUAACGCACUUUGACCCAAAUUUUUGAGCAACGAACCAAGUUACCCUAGGGAUAACAGCGCAAUCCAUUUCAAGAGCCCCUAUCGACAAUAUGGGUUUACGACCUCGAUGUUGGAUCAGGGUAUCCCAGUGGUGCAGCCGCUACUAAAGGUUCGUUUGUUCAACGAUUAAAACCCUACGUGAUCU